GACGAACGCUGGCGGCGUGCUUAACACAUGCAAGACGAACGGUGAAGGGACCAGCUUGCUGGUUCUGGAUGAGUGGCGAACGGGUGAGUAACACGUGAGUAAUCUGCCCCCUUCUUCUGGAUAACUGCAUGAAAGUGUGGCUAAUACGGGAUAUUCUGGGUCUGUCGCAUGGCGGGCCCGGGAAAGAUAUUGCUUCGGUGGGGGAUGGGCUCGCGGCCUAUCAGCUUGUUGGUGGGGUGAUGGCCUACCAAGGCGGUGACGGGUAGCCGGCCUGAGAGGGUGGACGGUCACACUGGGACUGAGACACGGCCCAGACUCCUACGGGAGGCAGCAGUGGGGAAUAUUGCACAAUGGGCGCAAGCCUGAUGCAGCGACGCCGCGUGAGGGAUGGAGGCCUUCGGGUUGUAAACCUCUUUCGCCAGUGAAGCAGGCCUGCUCCUUGUGGGUGGGUUGACGGUAGCUGGAUAAGAAGCGCCGGCUAACUACGUG
rnacentral:rRNA from 1 species